rnacentral:rRNA from 1 species
UCGGGAAACCAGUAAAGUGGCGCAAGGGUGAGUAACGCGUAGGAAUCUGCCUUGUAGUGGGGGAUAACCCGGGGAAACUCGGGCUAAUACCGCAUAAUACUCUGAGGAGGAAAGCUAGCUCGCAAGAGCUGGCGCUAUGAGAGGAGCCUGCGUCCGAUUAGUUAGCUGGUGAGGUAAAGGCUCACCAGGGCGAUGAUCGGUAGCUGGUCUGAGAGGAUGACCAGCCACACUGGGACUGAGACACGGCCCAGACUCC